ACAUGCAGUCGAGCGGACCUUUUAAAGCUUGCUUUGAAAGGUUAGCGGCGGACGGGUGAGUAACACGUGGGCAACCUGCCCUAUAGUUUGGGAUAACUCCGGGAAACCGGGGCUAAUACCGAAUAACACAAUCUAUCUCCUGUUAGAUUGUUGAAAGAUGGUUUCGGCUAUCGCUAUAGGAUGGGCCCGCGGCGCAUUAGCUAGUUGGUAGGGUAACGGCCUACCAAGGCGACGAUGCGUAGCCGACCUGAGAGGGUGAUCGGCCACACUGGGACUGAGACACGGCCCAGACUCCUACGGGAGGCAGCAGUAGGGAAUCUUCCACAAUGGACGAAAGUCUGAUGGAGCAACGCCGCGUGAGUGAAGAAGGUUUUCGGAUCGUAAAACUCUGUUGUAAGGGAAGAACAAGUACAGUAGUAACUGGCUGUACCUUGACGGUACCUUAUUAGAAAGCCACGGCUAACUACGUGCCAGCAGCCGCGGUAAUACGUAGGUGGCAAGCGUUGUCCGGAAUUAUUGGGCGUAAAGCGCGCGCAGGCGGUCCUUUAAGUCUGAUGUGAAAGCCCUCGGCUCAACCGAGGAGGGUCAUUGGAAACUGGAGGACUUGAGUGCAGAAGAGGAAAGUGGAAUUCCAAGUGUAGCGGUGAAAUGCGUAGAGAUUUGGAGGAACACCAGUGGCGAAGGCGACUUUCUGGUCUGUAACUGACGCUGAGGCGCGAAAGCGUGGGGAGCAAACAGGAUUAGAUACCCUGGUAGUCCACGCCGUAAACGAUGAGUGCUAAGUGUUAAGGGGGUUUCCGCCCCUUAGUGCUGCAGCUAACGCAUUAAGCACUCCGCCUGGGGGAGUACGGUCGCAAGACUGAAACUCAAAGGAAUUGACGGGGGCCCGCACAAGCGGUGGAGCAUGGUGGUUUAAUUCGAAGCAACGCGAAGAACCUUACCAGGUCUUGACAUCCCGCUGACCGCUAUGGAACAUAGUUUUCCCUUCGGGGACAGCGGUGACAGGUGGGGGCAUGGGUUGUCGUCAGCUCGUGUCGUGAAGGUUGGGGUUAAGUCCCGCAACGAGCGCAACCCUUGUUCUUAGUUGCCAUCAUUUAGUUGGGCACUCUAAGGAGACUGCCGGGCAACCGGAGGAAAGGGGGGGAUGACGUCAAAUCAUCAUGCCCCUUAUGACCUGGCUACCACCGUGUACAAUGGACGG
rnacentral:rRNA from 2 species